UGACGAAGACGUAACAAUAAAAAGUGUCUGUAAUAAUAAUAAUACGUCUGUAUAUAUAUUUUUUAUUCGUAAAAUCGGCAGCUGAUUGGUCAGAGUGCGAGAGUGAAGAGUGGGAGCACGGAGAAGUGGAGACGUGAGGAUGAGGACGACGACGACGACGUCGACGUAGCUUCGGAGCACGGGCACGGAGAAACGUACGUAGGAAACAUGGAGGAAGAAAUAAAGGGGUGAAAAUAAUAAAAUGAAAGAGAAAAAGAUGGUGGUGGGAGUGGUGAUCAGCUGGUGAGUUCGUGAUUCCCCUAAUGUUGGCUCUGGUUUAGCUCGGUUGCGCCUCAACCGCUCUCUUUCUCUCUCUCUCUCUCUCUCUCUUUCUUUUUCUCUCUCGGUCUGCUCUCCACUGGGUCUCCACUACUCGUAAUCGUACAUUUAUGUCUCCCGUCGUACACAAUUCGCGUUGGGUUCACAGACGUCGGCGGUCCGCACUACGGAACCAACCGCACCAGCGCCAUUCAAUAAUACAACGCUGAAGUACAACAACAGUAACAGUAACAGUAAUCCAGUGCUCGAUAAGACGUACUGAGAAAUGGAAGAAGCUGAAGAGAUCAAGAGGCUGACGGAUAAUAAAUUUAGUACGCGCAUCAUCACGUUGGUCCUGCACGUAGCAACCGACUACCAGGAAACAUCACUGACAGCCAUGCUCAACGGAUCUCUUUAACCUGGUGGUACUUCUGCUAGUUGCUGUUAUUCCUAACUGUUAUGACAAAGAAUAAUAAUUUUUUGAGUAGCUGCAAAAAGCCGCGAAUCCGGAGGAUUAAAAGCUCCGAGAAAAAGUUAUUGUCCGGGUGUGCCGAGUGUGUUUUUAUUUUUAUUUAAGCCGAUCUUAUCAACAUCGUUAUCACUUGUUCGGUUUUUUCAAAGAAAAUUUGUUAGUUUUUUUAUUUAUGUUCAAUUAUUUUAUUUUAUUUUUUUAUUUAUUUAUAUUCGAGCAUUGUUAAUAAUCAGGGUACGUGACCAGUGACGGAACCGCGAGUGCUGAAGAAAUAAAAGUAAAAUUAUAAUACAAUUGUUGUCAAUUAAUAAAA